CACCAGCCCCUCGAGUGGUGGGGACUAUUAUUUGGCCUAAAGCGUCCGUAGCCGGCUGAAGCCGUYACCCGUUAAAUCCAGCGUCUCAAGCGUUGGACUGCGGGUGAUACCCUUCAGCUUGAGGGUGGGACAGGUCAGCGGUAUUCCCGGGGUAGGGGCGAAAUCCUUUGAUCCCGGGAGGACCACCAGUGGCGAAGGCUGCUGACUAGAACACGCCUGACGGUCAGGGACGAAAGCUGGGGUAGCGAACCGGAUUAGAUACCCGGGUAGUCCCAGCUGUAAACGAUGCGCGCUAGGUGUUGGGUCGGCCACGCGCCGCCCCAGUGCCGCAGGGAAGCCGUUAAGCGCGCCGCCUGGGGAGUACGGCCGCAAGGCUGAAACUUAA
rnacentral:rRNA from 1 species